rnacentral:sRNA from 1 species
UUUUUGUUUCAGGGCAUUUGCACGCCAAAGGCAAAGAAGAAAAAAUGUCCAAAUCAUUAAAGAACUACAUUACUAUUAAGGACUUUCUGAAGACCUUUUCCCCCGAUGUCUUCCGGUUCUUCUGCCUGCGGAGCAGCUACCGCUCAGGUGAGCCGAGCACACGCGGAGUGGACUCCCCCCCAGCUCGGAGACAGUCAUUCUGACAGGACUGAGAACAGCAAAAUGCAGGCCAGAGAAUAAGCAGAACCUUGUUGAGUGAGGCUGCUGUGUGCCUUACGGUUCUGGUUGAGAGUGAACCCAGAGGACGAGGGAUCCCAGCGCUGGUCUGGGCUCGGCCCGCAGUGGAUGUGGGCUUCCUCGUCAAGCUCGAGUCCUCUCCACUCCUUCUCUCUGGGUCUGGACAAGUCGUGAACCCGCAGCACCUCGGCUUCCUGCUGUGUGAACUGGGAGAUUGGAAGGGGCCAGCCUGGCACGGCCCCGAACAUGGGAGCCCUCAAACGUGACCCUGCCUGUCCUGCCCAGGGACAGCACUUCCCCGAACGCCAUCGACUACAGUGACAGCGCCAUGCUCCAAGCUCAGCAGCUGCUCCUGGGGCUGGGCUCUUUCCUGGAGGAUGCACGUGCCUACAUGAAGGGGCAGCUGGCCUGCGGCUCCGUCAGGGAAGCGAUGCUGUGGGAGAGGUAAGAGGCCCGCCUAGCACCCGGCGUGGCACCCCUCCUGUGGCCUGCUGGGUGCUGCUGGUGGGCUCCUGAAGGGGAAGAGGGGCCCCCAGGAGACAGGGCGCUGGACAGGAGGUGUGGGGUCAGGGACUGCCCAGAGAGGCCCCAGGAGACAGGGUGCUGGGCAGGAGGUGCAGGUGUGGGGUCAGGGGCUCCCCAGAGGCCACAGGACACUGGGUGCUGGACAGGAGGUGUGGGGUCAGGGGCUCCCGAGACAUCCCAGGGAGACGGCGCUGGGCAGGAAGUGUGCCUGGGGCCCUCGGGCUCUGAGCCUCCUGCUCAGAGUGGCUUUGGGCUCGGGUUCCCUGUGCGAGGAGCGGAGCUGCUCAUCCCUCCCAGUCCUGACGGUGAGGAGCCAAAAUCUAUAAAACACACAGGCCUGGGCCCACAGCAUCGCCUCCACUCCCCACCCACGGGUGUCCUGGGCAGCGCUGCACAUUCAUCCCGGCGUGCAGAGUCUUCCGGAUAGUCUUGGUGAUAACCCACCCCUGCCGCUUCAGCAGGGUAGGCAGCCAGUGGCCACGGGAGGCUGAGAUCCGGGAGCCCCGGGCUGGGCCUCCCCAGCCUCUCUUUGUGAGUGGUCAGCCGUGCCGUCUCUCCCCCACCGAGUCUUCCUUGCCACUCCCCUCAAUAUCUAUUGAUUUUUAAAACCAUCAUGAAAAUGCCCACGUGUGUCUUGUAUUUUAAGUGUCACAGGUGACCUCUGCUCUGGGACUUUUUCUUGGGGUAACAUGACAGUUUGCAGUUGAUGUUACAUAAUUUUCUGCUACUCAGGAACUCAAGUCUUUGGGAAUAAGACCUAGAGAAAGUCCCCAGCUUAGAGCCCCCAGCAUCUCUCCCUGGGGAAGGACUGGUGUGGGGGCCGCCUGGGGAGAGUGGAGCUCCCUCUGCUGUGACUGUUCUCUCCUCUUCCCUCAGGCUCUCCAGCACCAAGAGGGCCGUGAAGGCGGCCUUGGCAGAUGACUUUGACACACCCAGGGUGGUUGAUGCCAUCCUGGGCCUUACACACCACGGGAAUGGACAGCUCAGGGCGUCCCUGAAGGAACCUGGAGGGCCGAGAAGUCCUGCUGUGUUUGGUGCCAUCAUCUCUUACUUUGAACAGUUUUUUGAAACUGUUGGAAUUUCUCUGGCAAAUCAACAGUACGUUUCAGGAGACGGCAGCGAGGCUACCUUGCAUGGUGUGGUGGACGAGCUGGUGCGGUUCCGGCAGAAGGUCCGGCAGUUUGCGCUGGCCAUGCCCGAGGCCACGGGGGACGCCCAGCGGCAGCAGCUCCUAGAAAGGCAGCCCCUGCUGGAAGCAUGCGACACCCUGCGCCGGGGCCUGACUGCCCACGGCAUCAACAUCAAGGACAGAAGCAGUACAACAUCCACGUGGGAACUGCUGGAUCAAAGGACAAAAGACCAAAAAUCAGCGGGCUGAUGAUGGAGCACAGCCAUGAACCUGCUCACGACAAGACGCACCCAUGCUUCUCACGGUCAAGGCUUUAUGUUGAAGCUUCCUGUCGGGGCUGCUAGGUCAGCAUUAAAGUAAGGCAACC